rnacentral:misc_RNA from 1 species
AGGAGCCGUAUGCGGUAGUUCCGCACGUACGGAUCUGUGCGGGGGUGGCAGGUAAGUGCCCUACAAAAAGUCAGGUUUCAACCCUUGC